rnacentral:rRNA from 1 species
CCUACGGGAGGCAGCAGUGGGGAAUUUUGGACAAUGGGCGAAAGCCUGAUCCAGCAAUGCCGCGUGAGUGAAGAAGGCCUUCGGGUUGUAAAGCUCUUUUGUCAGGGAAGAAACGGUGAGAGCUAAUAUCUCUUGCUAAUGACGGUACCUGAAGAAUAAGCACCGGCUAACUACGUGCCAGCAGCCGCGGUAAUACGUAGGGUGCAAGCGUUAAUCGGAAUUACUGGGCGUAAAGCGUGCGCAGGCGGUUUUGUAAGUCUGAUGUGAAAUCCCCGGGCUCAACCUGGGAAUUGCAUUGGAGACUGCAAGGCUAGAAUCUGGCAGAGGGGGGUAGAAUUCCACGUGUAGCAGUGAAAUGCGUAGAUAUGUGGAGGAACACCGAUGGCGAAGGCAGCCCCCUGGGUCAAGAUUGACGCUCAUGCACGAAAGCGUGGGGAGCAAACAGGAUUAGAUACCCUGGUAGUCCACGCCCUAAACGAUGUCUACUAGUUGUCGGGUCUUAAUUGACUUGGUAACGCAGCUAACGCGUGAAGUAGACCGCCUGGGGAGUACGGUCGCAAGAUUAAAACUCAAAGUAGUAGUUAGGACGUGAGACGNGCGACGACGGACACGAGGGAGGGAGAGG